AUGUUACAUGCGUGCGCGCUCGCGCACACACACACACACACACACAGUCUCACAUAUUUCCUUUCUGAUAGUGUUUGUCUUUCUCUUAACCUUUUCUCCUCAUCCACUGGCUCUCUCCCUGGAGCGCUGGUCUCCUAUCUUUUUCCAUCACAUUUCAGGCUGGCUGAUCAGAUCAGACACUUGGAGAAGACCACAAUUCUCCAAUCCCUCCUGCAGGACUUUGUGUCUCUAUCCUGCUUCAACGUGCCGAGUGUGCAAGACUGUCAUGGAGGGAAAAGCUGUACUGCUGGAUUUUCCCAAGCCACUGACCUAAUUCAAGUCCUUAAAAGCAUGGAGGAAAGAGGAAGACUUAAUGCUCAGAGCACAAGUAAAGACUCAAAAAGAGGGACUCCUAUUCGCCUCUACAAGCGAUGUCUGAGGAUCAUUGAGUCCAAGAAGCCUUGACUGAUGAUUCCCAAACAUCAGCACCCUUAAGUACCAGUUACUAGAAUGGGAAUGCAAUGCAUCUGUCCAACAUCACCCUCUAUUGUGUUUUUUAAAAGAUUUUUAAGCCUUAUGAUAAAUGUGGCAGAAGGACUUGAUUUGCUGCUGUUCGGUAUAGGAGGGAGUUCCUUAUACCUUCCAACUUUUCCCCAAAUCUUUGAACUCAACUGUAAAUAAUGAUCCACAACUAGAGUUGUACAGAAUUCUCCUGCUGAGGGUACUAUGAUCUCUGACAAAAAUUUAAUAUAUUUAUAUAGAGUCUUUGUACUUCUAGAUUAAAACCCUUGAAUAUUACCAGUCUCUGUUACGUCAUUGUCUCACAUUACAAGAUUCCCUUAAGGUGCACAGUAUUUUUUAGCCAGUAGCAUUUCUAAAAUUGCUCAAGAGGUGGCACCCUUCUACCUCUAACAGUAAGGUAAUUGACAUUCACACGCUCAUUUGUUAUUUUUCUUAGUUUUAGUAUGUCGUGAAUUGAUCAUGUUGAAGUAAAGUGUGGGAUUUUCACUUCUUACCUAAAGGCUUGAAAUUGAAAUAUUGUGUCAUGAUGAUCAUCAUUUACCUACCUUGUCACUACAAUCAGAAAAAGUACAGUAAUAAAAAUUAAACCAUGAGUAUUAAACAAACCCUAAUACAACCUCGGCAUUACUAGGAAGUAUGUUUGUUGAAAUGUUUGUCGGCCAGGGCUCUCCAACAGGUAGAUCGCGAGCUACUAGUUGCUCGCAGCCCACCUAUGAGUAACUUGCCAAUCAAUUCUGAAAGUACAUGCAGUUUUUUUUGUGUGUUCCGUUGUAAACUGUCAUAAACACAGAGCUCCUGCUACUAUCCAAUCCAUGCCACUUUGACAUUAUCCCAUCCCUGGUUAGCCACUACUAGCUUAAACAGGGCUGCCAACUUUUGAAAAAAGCUUGGAGUGAGAUUUGUUAUGUGAAUUUCUUUGCCCCCUGGCACAACCCCUAUAUGUACAAUUUUACUGUUUUAAAGCUAAUUUCCUGCAAUUCUACAUAUUUUCACAUGGCUUAGGCAUAUGACACUGGUCAGGUGUAUUCAGGGUAUUUUGAACAUUAAAUGAACACUCCAUUUGAC
rnacentral:lncRNA from 1 species